UACGUAGGGUGCAAGCGUUUGUCCGGAAUUAUUGGGCGUAAAGAGCUCGUAGGCGGUUUGUCGCGUCUGCUGUGAAAACCCGAGGCUCAACCUCGGGCCUGCAGUGGGUACGGGCAGACUAGAGUGCGGUAGGGGAGAUUGGAAUUCCUGGUGUAGCGGUGAAAUGCGCAGAUAUCAGGAGGAACACCGAUGGCGAAGGCAGGUCUCUGGGCAUUAACUGACGCUGAGGAGCGAAAGCAUGGGGAGCGAACAGG
rnacentral:rRNA from 1 species